rnacentral:rRNA from 1 species
CCUACGGGAGGCAGCAGUGAGGAAUAUUGGACAAUGGGCGCGAGCCUGAAGCAGCCAAGUAGCGUGAAGGAUGACUGCUCUACGGGUUGUAAACUCCUUUUAUAAAGGAAUAAAGUGAGGCUCGUGUGCCUUUUUGUAUAUACUUUAUGAAUAAGGAUCGGCUAACUCCGUGCCAGCAGCCGCGGUAAUACGGAGGAUCCGAGCGUUAUCCGGAUUUAUUGGGUUUAAAGGGAGCGUAGAUGGGUUGUUAAGUCGGUUGUGAAAGUUUGCGGCGCAACCGUAAAAUUGCAAUUGAUACUGGCAGCCUUGAGUACAGUUGAGGUAGGCGGAAUUCGUGGUGUAGCGGUGAAAUGCUUAGAUAUCACGAAGAACUCCGAUUGCGAAGGCAGCUUACUAAACUGCCACUGACAUUGAUGCUCGAAAGUGUGGGUAUCAAACAGGAUUAGAUACCCCUGUAGUC